UAUAUUUUGGCCUGGUGGUUAAAGCGUCCGUCUCGGAUGUGGAAGGUCGCAGGUUCAAAACCCGGCUGAGUCAUAU